GGCACUGGAUUCUGAUUCCAGCAUUCCGAGGUUCGAAUCCUCGUACCCCAGCCAAAUUUAGAAAAGCUCGCU
rnacentral:tRNA from 1 species